UAGUAGCAAGUGCUGGUGACUGUACCUAAUGAAAAGUAUCGUAUCGUUAACAUUUAUAGUAAUAUCGUGACCUGUAUUCAAUAUUGAAGUGGAAUGCAGCCCACUGGUGUGCACUAAAUACAAAGGUCAUAUUUUAGCUUUUUACCACAAGAUCUGAAGUUCCAUAUUCAAAGCCCAUAUCAUCAUGAUCUGUCCGUUAUUGAGCCCACCACUGGUUUUCCUGCAGCGGCGGCAGCGGCAACUUCGUGCUCUCGACGAGCACCACAGGCUACACGCCGUGUUUUGGUGUGACGGCCGCCAUGGUUCGAGACGGCUACGGGUGCUUCUACUCGAUCGAGCCAGAUCGGCUCAACAUCAACAUCUCGGGCUUCGUGAGCAGCGAGGAGUGUGACGUCAACAAGUUCUACGACUCGGUGGCCUCCAGCCUGGACGGCAUGCAGCAGCUGAUGCUGUCCAGGAGUAACCUCUGAGCUCUGCUCGAGACACUAAGACCAGUGCACAACGCCGAGGUGGGAGAACCGAGCUGAACAGUUGUCUGACUUGCCUGGACGUGGAAAGUGCCCACUGUUUACGGAGACGCUGGCGGGAAUGGAUAGGUAUGUAUGCGAGGAUCGAUCACGGUUUCCAGGGUUGUGGACGGAGUUUUAUGCGGAUGCCGAUACCCGCAACAAUCGGAAUGUCAGCUAAUGAAUGACUUGAAUGUCAUGUUUCAGAGCUCGAUAAACAAUGCAAGAUUGUAGAUGACUUGACUCAUUUGUGUUCAUAUGCUCUGUUUGUAUUAUAAUAUUCAACUUGUUCUUAGCAAAAUACUGUUCAUCCGGGACUUGUAGUUAAUUUUCUGUGUACUUGCGUUGAACUUUUUCGUCGCGUAUCGCUGUAUAGGUUCUUCGUUCUGGCCUAGCGCUUCAAUCUUGACCCGAGGUAUGUUUAUCAACACGUUUUUACAAAUAGGUUUUAACCGUUGGACAGCAGCCUUAGGUGUUGGAUCGUCGGCGCAAAAUUCAUACUGCUUUACGUUUUUAUGGGUGCCAAAAAAAACCGGAGAUUCGAAAUAAUUAAUGGAAUAGGUAUGAUAGCGGGUUGAGCACGCCUCGUCAUUCUAAAUGUAGGGGAUAUGCGUUGCUGCAAAAUAAUAUCCUGGAUUCAAUUAUAGUUAAUAUGUAUAUCAUUCCCUAGCAAUGAGCUGGUGGCAGCGUUACAAAUGCAAUGUGUACUGUUUAUCCUCUUGCCACUUCUUGAUGAUUCUUCAAUGCAAUGUUUGAUGCAGAUUCGUAGUAAUCGUUCACACAGAGCUUGCCGUUGUAAUGACGCGUUCCGUUUUCUACACAUUCCUGUUGAUCAGAGUCGCAAUGGUUGGAGAUUCAAAAGAAGGGUAUUGUAUGGCAUGGCUGUUGAGGUGUGUGGCAGGCAGAGCCGCUGCGAGGGGAGUAUUCAUCGUUUGAGCUUGCUGAGUUUGGCAUAGGACUGUGCGCUGUGCUGUGUAUGUUCUGUGCCGGAAAGUGCCUGCACCCACUGCCGGUAGUCUGAUGAAGGGAGGGAACAGGUUAGAGUACCGUAUUUCGUCAACUCUUUCACCUAUCGCGCUGGCUGUUGUGUUUAGUGGCUGAGAUUGUGCUCGAGGUCUCUCUAGCAGUCACUCGCACAUUAGAAAGCUGUAGACCGGAAGGUUUUGUGAUGCAGUGUAGCGUGGCUCUCCUCAAACCCUGGUUAUAUUUGUGCAAUCACUGUAUUUCUACCGUAUUACACGGUACCGCUAUGUAAUUCAGAGCCGUAUUCAAUAACGGCGGCCGUGGCCGGAUUGUUACACGGCGAGUGUCGGAACGGAGCCGAGAGACAAAUGUCAUAGGUGAUUGUAUAUGGAAAAUGCCUGGCCUCGGGCUGUGCAGUGUGCGGCCGCCAGUGAAAUACACGCCGAGAGAUGCGGCGUGUGGUCUGGUCAUGGCUAUUUGGAAGAGUCGUGUCAAAUAUACGGCAAGAGACGAGA